rnacentral:lncRNA from 1 species
ACUCCUGUGCAGUCUUCUGCUGCUGCCAGGCUCGCUUCCCUCUUUCGCACUCCAGAAGAGGAGCGAGAGAGAACUGCUGGGAAGGAUGCCCAGCCCGAGGGGUCUGGGGAAAAAGAAGCAAAAAACGAACUCCUCCCCCCAGGACCGACUCAUCUCCUCCGAGGAAAUCGAGGAGACACUCCCCCAGGCGACGAACUCCUCCGCGUGGGAGAUAUUAUACUGGGGAGUCCUCCCGGGGUCGGUACACAUAUUCUUCUACUCGGGAGACACAAUUGCCGGGUUACCAAGGUUCCCACCCCCGGAAUUACGGGACCAAGUUCCCGCUGGUUGCUGACAUGGAUGCCGCCCGAACCACAUUGCGGACUAUAUCUGGGUAUCCGAUGGACCGGACUGUCGAAGAAAUCGGACAGAACCUGAGCAACGUAAGUACUUUUGUUUUACUAUUUUUAUGAGUAUG